rnacentral:misc_RNA from 1 species
CCCAACUAUCCCUAUUAAUCAUUACGUCAAUCCUAGAAACCAACAAAAUAGGAUCGAACGUCCUAUUUCAUUAUUCCAUGCUAAUGUAUUCAGGCGUUAGCCUGCUUUAAACACUCUAAUUUUUUCAAAGUAACAGUCCAGAUUCCCUGCAACACCAAAUUAAUGGCAUUACAGUUCAUCAGGAAGGAGGAAUCAGUGAAACCAGUACAUACCAGUGGCAUGACCAACCUACUGACCCCGAAAUUCAACUACGAGCUUUUUAACUGCAACAACUUUAAUAUACGCUAUUGGAGCUGGAAUUACCGCGGCUGCUGGCACCAGACUUGCCCUCCA